CCUACGGGAGGCAGCAGUGGGGGAUAUUGCACAAUGGGGGGAACCCUGAUGCAGCAACGCCGCGUGAAGGAAGAAGGCUUUCGGGUUGUAAACUUCUUUUAAGAGGGAAGAGCAGAAGACGGUACCUCUUGAAUAAGCCACGGCUAACUACGGGCAAGCAGCCGCGGUAAUACGGAGGUGGCAAGCGUUGUCCGGAUUUACUGGGUGUAAAGGGAGCGUAGACGGCUGUGCAAGUCUGAAGUGAAAGCCCGUGGCGCAACCGCGGAACUGCUUUGGAAACUGUAUAGCUUGAGUACUGGAGAGGCAGGCGGAAUUCCUGGUGUAGCGGUGAAAUGCGUAGAUAUUAGGAAGAACACCAGUGGCGAAGGCGGCCUGCUGAACAGAAACUGACGUUGAGGCUCGAAAGCGUGGGUAGCAAACAGGAUUAGAUACCCCAGUAGUC
rnacentral:rRNA from 1 species